CUUGAAGACGACGAGGUAGAUAGGCUGGGGGUGGAAGUGCAGCAAUGCAUGGAGCUGACCAGUACUAAUCGGUCGAGGGCUUAUCCAA
rnacentral:rRNA from 1 species